rnacentral:rRNA from 1 species
AUGAACGCUGGCGGCGUGCCUAAUACAUGCAAGUCGAGCGAACAGACGAGGAGCUUGCUCCUCUGACGUUAGCGGCGGACGGGUGAGUAACCCGUGGAUAACCUACCUAUAAGACUGGGAUAACUUCGGGAAACCGGAGCUAAUACCGGAUAAUAUAUUGAACCGCAUGGUUCAAUAGUGAAAGACGGUUUUGCUGUCACUUAUAGAUGGAUCCGCGCCGCAUUAGCUAGUUGGUAAGGUAACGGCUUACCAAGGCAACGAUGCGUAGCCGACCUGAGAGGGUGAUCGGCCACACGGGAACUGAGACACGGUCCAGACUCCUACGGGAGGCAGCAGUAGGGAAUCUUCCGCAAUGGGCGAAAGCCUGACGGAGCAACGCCGCGUGAGUGAUGAAGGUCUUCGGAUCGUAAAACUCUGUUAUUAGGGAAGAACAAAUGUGUAAGUAACUAUGCACGUCUUGACGGUACCUAAUCAGAAAGCCACGGCUAACUACGUG